rnacentral:rRNA from 1 species
AUGGAGGGGUCGUCCACUAUGAUGGUGCGGGAGGUGCUGUACAUGUACUUCGUCGCACGGCAGGCAUACGACCGGUUCAUCUCCGUGUGCGGCAACCCAGAGCAGGCCCGGAACGCAGUGGAGUUGCUGGUGUGGCUGGAUCAAGGCACCAUCCCCACCAUCCACCACGUCCCUGGCAUUGAAGCCGGCGUUGUGGGCAUCGUCGUGGCGGAGACCAACGCCGUCCUCGAGUGCUUGCGCUACCCGAAGCCCGUGCUCCCGCCCAUCCCGCUCAUCUCCGUGCUGUGCAUGCCGGGCGGCGUCUGCAUCGAGCCAAGGUUCUUCGCCUUGCACCAGGAAAUAGUUGUCCGUGGCGUUGCCCACUUCCUCGACGGUGCCGGCAAGUUCGUCUUCGACGAUUGCCUCCAGGUCUUGCUGAGGAAGUCGGAGAGCGGCCUGGUGGGUAACCCGCCGGAGCUCAUGGCGCCCUACAGCCCCCUGCUAGUGGACGUGCCCGAGGACUGCCACUCCAUGUUCAUCACCUUCUCCAAGGGCAUGCCUCUCCUCCACGAGGAGAUCUUCGACUACUUCAGGCAGAAAUGGGGUGACUGCAUGGUGAGGGUGCUCAUGGAGAAGAAGACAGGGGGCAGCAUACCCAUGUAUGGCCGGAUCAUUUUCAAGACAGAGGCGGUAGUGCAGCUGGUGCUCAACGGCGAGAGGCUCAUCAAGAUCUCCAUUGACCAACGUCAGAUCUGGCUGCGCAAGUACAUCCCCAAGCCAACCAACGCU